UAAUGCAGAUUUUUCUUUAGUUCUCAAGUUCUUUAAUCUUCUCUCUGAAUUCCUUUUAUGAUUCAUCAGGAAGUUUCCAGGAGCUGUUUGUUCGCACCAGACAUGCCUGAAGAGUUUGCACAAUAUGCAGCUGCUGUACACAUCAGCCAGCCCAGGGAACAAGCAGCAAAGACCCCACAGAUAAAUACCACAGUAGAAGUAUGAAGCUACAAGUCUAGACUGCUUCCCUCCAGUUAAAAGCAUCAAACUGUCCCUGAUAUGCAGAGAACAUCUAUUUGCAUUUGGAUUGUCUGUGUGGUCUCCCAAGUCUGUUCUCAAUCUGAGGAGGGACUGAUUUCA